CCAAACUUGGUGGUGUAAAAUACCACCAAUCAUUUUAUUAUUAACUCCCACAAGUUUGGGAAGUUGCCUGAGCUCACUUAGGCGGUAUUCACUCAGAGUGUCUCACACACUUGCUGUCAGACAAUGGUUGACACUCAAAUAUUCUGAAUGCUUGAUGCUCACGUGGCUGGCAUGUGGGCUGGGACCACUCAAACAGCUGGAAUUUGGAACUUCUAGGGACCCUAGGAAUGCUUCUUUGUCUCUGUGUGGUCUCUUCAGCAUAGCAACAGCAGCGUAGCUGAACAUCUUACGGAUGGCCCAGGGCUCCAAAGGCUCGUUUCCUAAGUGAGAGAGAGCCUGGCUGAAGCUGUAUUACCAUUCAUUCUCCAGCCUCCGAAGUCUCAAAGCAUCACUUCCACCAUACUCUAACUGUCAAGACAAACACAAAGGCCCAGAAACUGCCAGACUGUCUUCUGAAGUGGCUAUAAUAUUUACACUCCCAUCAGCAGUGUAGAAGGGGUCUCACUAUGUUGUCUGGAGUGCUGUGGUGGAGUGGAGUGGCUAUUCACAGCUGAGUUUGCAGAGUAAACCACUACCCUGAAAUCUGGAAAGGCAGGUGCACCCACAGAUCCUCAGCUGAGAUCCAAUUACCUGAAAUAGAAGCUGCCAUUAGGAACACUUAAAAGAGCCUGUUCUGCUGGGACACAGAAUCACUUGCUCCAUCUCAUACAUUGAUGAUGAUUAAUUUGUAUGUGUACCUUCCAAAAAAGAUGGUUGUGUUUGAAUGGAGGCCUUCUGGACAGGAAAAUUGCAAAGUACAAUUAACAUUUGAGUCUGUCUGAGUCAUGAAGAAAUGGAGAUUACUGAAAAUAAUUCAUUUUGGUAUCUUCUUACAUCCUGAGAGACUAAUCUUUCCAAGUUCAUCUGAGGCUCCUCUUCUCCAUGACAACCUCAUCCAGGGAUUUCUUCCUGUCCUGGUGUUUUAUGACAUCAUCCUCAUCUCGCUUGUAAGGAUAAUAGCCUUCCUCCAAACCUCACACACUUUUGGAGGAGAUCACUUUUUUUAAAGUGCAUGGAAAUGUUUUGAAACAGUGAAAUCUAUAAUGAUAGGUUUCAUAAUUCUAACAUCCACACCAUAUGAAUCACAUCCUUCCUGAGAUAAUGAGCACACAAUUGCCUGGAUACCUGAAGGAAUGGAGACAGCGGCAGAAAACACUGCAGAGAGGUGGAAACAUCCGUUAAUAUUUUAAAAUCCCAUUACUGCUACCAACAAUAAUAAUGGAUGCAUAGAAAUAGAUCUGGAUUAGCUGAGCUUGAAACAGUCCAUCUCACACACACACAAAAGAAUUUCAGAUACAGUGAACCCACAUGUUGAAGCUUUCUAGUAUAAUAAAAAUUUCAACUGUUCUGUUGAAUCAUCUGCCUGAUUGGAGGCUACAGAAAAGAUGUCAUCUUAGGAGUGCUUGCUCUGAGUGAGGCUCAUCUUCAAAUCUGAAUGACCACAAGGAGAUUUGAUUAUACAUGUGAACACCUCAGAAGGCACAGCCCACCCAGAAGGCAGACAGGUCAGGCUGCUUUUUCUUCAUUGCUUGGAUUCAAUCCUCCGGGCGGCUCAGGCUCAAACAUAACUUAAGCAUGAUUAAACUUUAGAAGAAGCUGCCAGGAAGACUGUGAAAUCUUCAUGCCCAAGGAUCCCUAAAAUUAGGAGCAACAACCACUUGGCUCAG
rnacentral:lncRNA from 1 species